rnacentral:tmRNA from 1 species
GCCCUUUGCAGAAGCUUGCAGAACCCUUAUAUCUCGUUUGUCGGCUUGACCGACUAUGGAAAUAAACGGCCGUUGAAAUAAGCCAUUCGGACCCGGGGGCGGUACCCGGCGCCUCCACCACGAACCGCUGGAAACAGCGGCUGGUGCUGGGGGCGAAAUAGGAUCGACGAGGGUGUAAAGAGCGGACUUUUUCCCGGCAUUGUACCACCGUUAUCGGGCUAAACUUGUAGUUGCAAACGACAACUAUGCGGAAGCACGUCUCGCCGCUUAAUGCGGUGCGAUAGCUUCAAAUCAAGCCCUAGGGGUUCGCACUUCUAGGCGGGGUUCGGAGGUACCUGGCAACAGAAACCUCCACU